rnacentral:rRNA from 1 species
UUAGAUACCCUAUUAUUAAAAAUGUAAAUUUUUUUUACUUAAUUAGUAUUAGUUAUGUUCUUGAAAAUUAAAAAAUUUGGCGGUAUUUUAGUCUUUUCAGAGGAACCUGUUCUAUAAUCGAUAGUCCACGAUUAGAUGCACUUUAUUUAUUAGUUUAUAUAUCGUCGUAGUUUAAAUAUUUUAAUAGAAUUAUAAAUAUUUAAAAUUUUUUAUUAAAAAAUAAAUCAGAUCAAGGUGUAGUUUAUAAUAAAGAAGAAAUGGGUUACAAUAAAUUUAUUUGAAAAUAAUUUUUGUUAAAAAAAUUUGAAUUUGGAUUUGAGAGUAAUUUUUUAGAUUUUUUUAAGAUGAUUAAAGCUCUAAAAUAUGUACACAUCGCCCG